GGACGAACGCUGGCGGCGCGCUUAACACAUGCAAGUCGAGCGAGAACCGGGACUUCGGUCCCGGGGACAGCGGCGAACGGGUGAGUAACACGUGGGUAAUCAACCCCUGGCUCCGGGAUAGCCCGAGGAAACUCGGAUUAAUACCGGAUGGCCCUUCCGACUUUCGAGUCGGUAGGGAAAGGUAGCUUCGGCCUCUGGCCGGGGACGAGCCCGCGGCGGAUUAGCUUGUUGGUGGGGUAAUGGCCUACCAAGGCGACGAUCCGUAGCUGGUCUGAGAGGACGAUCAGCCACACUGGGACUGAGACACGGCCCAGACUCCUACGGGAGGCAGCAGUGGGAAUCUUGCGCAAUGGGCGAAAGCCUGACGCAGCGACGCCGCGUGAGGGAAGAA
rnacentral:rRNA from 1 species